UGGAGCCGACCUUGAAAUACCACCCUUUAAUGUUUGAUGUUCUAACGUGGACCCGUAAUCCGGGUUGCGGACAGUGUCUGGUGGGUAGUUUGACUGGGGCGGUCUCCUCCUAAAGAGUAACGGAGGAGCACGAAGGUUGGCUAAUCCUGGUCGGACAUCAGGAGGUUAGUGCAAUGGCAUAAGCCAGCUUGACUGCGAGCGUGACGGCGCGAGCAGGUGCGAAAGCAGGUCAUAGUGAUCCGGUGGUUCUGAAUGGAAGGGCCAUCGCUCAACGGAUAAAAGGUACUCCGGGGAUAACAGGCUGAUACCGCCCAAGAGUUCAUAUCGACGGCGGUGUUUGGCACCUCGAUGUCGGCUCAUCACAUCCUGGGGCUGAAGUAGGUCCCAAGGGUAUGGCUGUUCGCCAUUUAAAGUGGUACGCGAGCUGGGUUUAGAACGUCGUGAGACAGUUCGGUCCCUAUCUGCCGUGGGCGCUGGAGAACUGAGGGGGGCUGCUCCUAGUACGAGAGGACCGGAGUGGACGCAUCACUGGUGUUCGGGUUGUCAUGCCAAUGGCACUGCCCGGUAGCUAAAUGCGGAAGAGAUAAGUGCUGAAAGCAUCUAAGCACGAAACUUGCCCCGA
rnacentral:rRNA from 3 species